CCCCCCUCUAAUCAGUGAAACUGAUCUCCCCGUGAAGAAGCGGGGAUAUACAUAUAAGACGAGAAGACCCCAUGGAGCUUUAAACCUGACAGCACCCGCUCAUUCUAUACCCCAUUAUUUGCCCGACCCCUGUCUGCUCAGUUUUAGGUUGGGGUGACCACGGAGUAUAAAAUAACCUCCAUGAAGAAGGGGAUAUUUCCCUUAUUAGAGAACCACACUUCCAAGAACUAAUAAAUUAAUUUUCAAUGACCCGAUACCCGAUAAUCGAUCAACGAACCAAGUUACCCUGGGGAUAACAGCGCAAUCCACCCUGAAAGCCCUUAUUAACAGGUGGGUUUACGACCUCGAUGUUGGAUCAGGGUAUCCCAGUGGUGCAGCAGCUACUGAGGGUUCGUUUGUUCAACGAUUAAAACCCU
rnacentral:rRNA from 2 species